rnacentral:rRNA from 1 species
UACGUAGGCAGCAAGCGUUGUUCGGAGUUACUGGGCGUAAAGAGUAUGUAGGCGGUUCGCUAAGUUUGGUGUGAAAUCUCCCGGCUUAACUGGGAGGGUGCGUCGAAUACUGGCGGGCUUGAGUAUGGGAGAGGAAAGCGGAAUUCCUGGUGUAGCGGUGAAAUGCGUAGAUAUCAGGAGGAACACCUGUGGUGUAGACGGCUUUCUGGACCAUCACUGACGCUGAGAUACGAAAGCGUGGGUAGCAAACAGG